AUUGAACGCUGGCGGCAGGCCUAACACAUGCAAGUCGAGCGGCAGCGGAAGGAAGCUUGCUUCCUUGCCGGCGAGCGGCGGACGGGUGAGUAAGGUAUGGGGAUCUGGCCGAAGGCGGGGGAUAACCACUGGAAGCGGUGGCUAAUACCGCAUAAUCUCUAAGGAGCAAAGUGGGGGACCGUUCAGGCCUCACACCUUCGGAUGAACCCAUAUGAGAUUAGCUAGUAGGUGGGGUAAUGGCUCACCUAGGCGACGAUCUCUAGCUGGUCUGAGAGGAGGAUCAGCCACACUGGGACUGGGACACGGCCCAGACUCCUACGGGAGGCAGCAGUGGGGAAUAUUGCACAAUGGGCGCAAGCCUGAUGCAGCCAUGCCGCGUGUAUGAAGAAGGCCUUCGGGUUGUAAAGUACUUUCAGUCGUGAGGAAGGUGUUAAGGUUAAUAACCUUAGCAAUUGACGUUAGCGACAGAAGAAGCACCGGCUAACUCCGUGCCAGCAGCCGCCGUAA
rnacentral:rRNA from 1 species